rnacentral:rRNA from 1 species
AUUGAACGCUGGCGGCAGGCCUAACACAUGCAAGUCGAACGGUAACAGGAAGAAGCUUGCUUCUUUGCUGACGAGUGGCGGACGGGUGAGUAAUGUCUGGGAAACUGCCUGAUGGAGGGGGAUAACUACUGGAAACGGUAGCUAAUACCGCAUAACGUCGCAAGACCAAAGAGGGGGACCUUCGGGCCUCUUGCCAUCGGAUGUGCCCAGAUGGGAUUAGCUAGUAGGUGGGGUAACGGCUCACCUAGGCGACGAUCCCUAGCUGGUCUGAGAGGAUGACGAGCCACACUGGAACUGAGACACGGUCCAGACUCCUACGGGAGGCAGCAGUGGGGAAUAUUGCACAAUGGGCGCAAGCCUGAUGCAGCCAUGCCGCGUGUAUGAAGAAGGCCUUCGGGUUGUAAAGUACUUUCAGCGGGGAGGAAGGGAGUAAAGUUAAUACCUUUGCUCAUUGACGUUACCCGCAGAAGAAGCACCGGCUAACUCCGUG